rnacentral:lncRNA from 1 species
AGUUCCGGCAGAGACCCGGGUGAGACGUUCUGACCCUGGGCCUGUGGAGGGGCUGGGGGUUCAGGACCUCCCGCAGCCUCUGCCCUGCAGGCUCCAGGCGCCCUCGCUGUGGCUCCCCUCGCGGGCCCAGGCCUGAAGGAGCCGCGAACCUCUCUUCCCUACCCCACCUCGGUGACUGAUGGCAGUUCCUCUCCCAGCCCAGACCCCGCCGGCCUCCAUGUCUCCCGGCCCAGCUCUGCGGGGCCUAAACUAAGCCCCUGCCGAGCCGCUAGGAUGCAGCGCAUUUGGGUGGCUGCGGGCGUGGGGGGCCGGGAAGCAUGGCGACCUCACCAACUAGCAGCGGAGGCCAUUAGGGUGUGGGGGGCGCGGGAAGGGUCGCCUGCCACCAGGGCACGGGCAGAUCGGACCGCUGUGUCCCAACAGGGCUUGACCGACCUAGUCCUGACGACAGGAACAACGGCAUUAACGGCCGGAAAGUGAGCGGUGUCCCAGACAACGACGGAUAGCGGCCAUCUGGCCACUGGUCUUCCUUCUCUACCAGACCUGGAUGUGGGAAGAGAGAAGUGAUGGAACAACAGGCACAUUUGGCGCAUUGGAGAUGCCCGCUACCCUUUGGGAAGAUUGAAUUACCACCGUUUAUAGAAGGCCUGCGUGUGUAAUGUGAGAAAGCGGGUCUCAACUGCCCCCGCCCCAACUUUUAGAUAGAAAACAUUUGCCACAUUUAGCCCUUCUAGAUGGAAAGAGGUUGUGAUGUAUGAUAGAGUUAGAAAAUCACACAUCUUAAAAAAUAAAAAAAUAAUAAAUUCUCAUUUGUUCAAAAAGAAAUGAUAGAAAAUAGAUGUCUUCUGGAAAUGGCUUUUCGCAAUGGAAUUGUUGGACCACCUCUGGAAGCCACACCAGGAGCGACAGACACAUCCACGUUUGUUUGUUCAGUGGGUUAGAGGGCAUGAAGAAGAAGACCUGAGAAGGAAAAGAAGAAGGUUCUGUGCCAGACUAGUCAUAUUCAGAAGACAUUCUCAUAUUCUUUCCAUUGUUUUGUGUGCAUUUUAUUCCCUACUACUGUAUAGAUCAUUGACAAUGCUACACUUUUUUGAAAUGUCUAGUGUUUCUAGAUGUUCUGACGUGCCUGAUAUAUGUUUAAACUAGAAGUAGUAAAAUAACACAUUUUUUUAAGUAUCUUUUUGUUAAAAUUCGAAUGAAACGUUGUUUUAGGGGGAAUGGCCAAACCACAAGUUGAGUAAUAUGCAUUGUAUUAUGCACCAGUUUAGGAGAGGAGGAGGAGGAGGCUGUGCAGAGAGCUCUGUGCCACCAGUGUGCUUACAGUGAGGCAAGAUUAACCAUUAUAUCUUGUGUUUGUGCAUUUUGUUUUACUUAUCUGUCUAUAAAGUGUAUAUAGAGGAAAACAAGUCCUAAUUUAUACCUAGUAUUUCUAGAUGUUAUAGAGGUUGCCAGUGAAUUACAAAAGUAGAGUUAGUAAACUAACAUUUUUGUACAUUUUGUUUUUAAAUUCCCAGGGAAGAUUGUCUUCUGAAAACUUGAGCAUUCUUGCCCACUGGGUUGAUGAUGGAGAUGGCCAGAAUGUUCACAUUUGGAAGACUCCUUCAAAUUAUAACUAUUGUUACAUGUAUGCAGUUUAUUCAAGGCUGCAGUGUACAUAGUGGACAGAUUAACUUCUUACCUGAAACCUCUAGUCUAUUUAGAUGUUUAGAAGGGACUGAUGUAUGUUAAAUGUAGAGGUAGUAAAAUUUCACUUUGUAAAUGUCUUUUUGCUGAAAUUCAUAGGAAAUACUGUAUUUUGGAAAUCGAAUUGUUAAGCCAUCUUUGUGAGCGGUAUAGUACUGUCUAUACUUGCUCAGUAGUUUAGAGGAGCUGUGACGGAUGAAACUGCAAAAGGUAAUAUGCUAGUGUGCUCAUACUUGCAUAUUUUCAGGCACCAUUUUUCUGUAUGUUUUGUGCAUUGUGUUUUGCUCUGUAUAUAGCGCAUAUAAUGAACAAAUGAGUCCUAAUUUUGCAACAUCUAGUCUCUAGAUGUUAAAGAGGUUGGCAGUGUAUGACAAAGUACUUAGUAAAAUUAGCACUUUUUGUAAGCUUUGUGUUGAAAUUCAUAGGAAACCUUGUCUUCUGUAAAUAACUUUUGGAUAUAAAUUUGUUCAACCAUUUCUAAAGCAUGACACAUGCCUAUACUUGUCUACUGAAAUAAAGGCAGAGAGAAGAAAGGAAGGACUACUUCAAGGCCAAAAUGGUCAUGUUUAGAAGAUACCUCAGAUUAUAACUGUUGUUAUGUGUGUGCAAUUUUAUUUAACAGUGCCAUGUACAUGGUGGACAAGUUAUAUGAAAUAUUUAAUCUUUCUAGAUAUUUGGAAGUGCUUGGUGUGUUUAAAAAUAGAAGUAGUAGAAUAACACUUUUUGUAAAUAUCUUUUAAAAGUAAUGAGAAAUACUUUUUGGAACUGGCAUUGUUGAACCACCUCUGUGAACAGCGUACUCUCUGUAUAUGUUCAUUGGGUUGAGGGAGAUUGGAAGGAAGAUAUUGCAAAAAGUGUUUUGCUAAUGUCUACUAGAAAAUUUCAGCUUAAUCCAUUACCUAUAUGUUACACGCAUUGCAUUUAACUUUGCUAUACUGUAUAUAUUGUGUGUGUACUGGAUGAAGUAGUCUUAAUUUUAUAAUAUCUAGUCUAGUCGCUAGACAUUAAAGAGGUUGCCAAUUUAUGACAAUUUAUGAGCGUUAGUUUACUAACUCUAUUUUUGUACACUUUGUUGAAAUUCAUAGAAAGGCUGUCUUCUGAAAAGGACUUUUGGAAGUGAAACGAUAACAUCAGUUCUAAAUAACACAUAUGCCUAUAUCCACUAGGUUGGUGGUAGAGAGGAGUUAGAAGGAAUGAAAGAUUUUAGACCAGAAUGUUCCUAUUUAGAAGACACUUUCAGAUAUAACCAUUGUUACCUGUGUAUAUAGUGGACAAAUUUAAGUCCUUAUUUGAAACAUCUAGUCUUUCUAGUUUUUAGAAGUGCACAAAGUAUGUUAAAAGUAGAGGGAGUAAAUAACACUUUGUAGAUAUCCUUUUGAUUCAUAUGAAAUAUUGUCUUUGGGAAAUGGAUCAAACCACUUAUCUGAGCAGUACAUAUUACUAUAUGUGUGUUGGCUCAGGGAGGAAGGAGGAGCAGAAAGUGCAAAGGGUAAUUGAAAUACCAGUGUGUUUAUGGUGAGGCACACUUUACCAUUGUCCCUUAUGUCUGCAUUUUCUUUUACUGUGCUGUGUAUAUAGCGCAUAUAAGUGGACAAAUUCGUCCUAAUUUUCAACAUCUAGUCUUUGUAGAUAUUAAGAUGUUUCUAGUGUAUGACAAAAGUAGAGUUAGUAAACUACUACACUGAGUACACCUUUUGGUAAAAUUCAUAGGGAAGACUGUUCUUAAAAACACAAAAGG